rnacentral:rRNA from 1 species
AUUGAACGCUGGCGGCAGGCCUAACACAUGCAAGUCGAGCGGAUCGUCGGUCGGGUGAGUAUUGCCUAUGAUUCUGCCUGUUAGUGGGGGAUAACGUCCGGUGACGGGCGCUAAUACCACAUACUAUCAGAUUAUCAUAGGGCGGAUUAGCUUGUUGUUGGUGUAACGGUCUACCAAGGCGACUAUCCGUAACUGGUCUGAGAGGAUGAUCAGGCAAAAUGGAACUGAGACACGGUCCAGACUCCUACGGGAGGCAGCAGUGGGAAAUAUGGGACAAUGGGCGAAAGCCUGAUCAAGCCAUGCCGCGUGAGUGAAGAAGGUCUUCGGAUUGUAAAGCACGUUAAGUUGGGAGGCGUUAACAACAGAAUAAGCACCGGCUAACUUCGUGCCAGCAGCCGCGGUAAUUC